AUGUUGUAUGAAAGGAGAGAAGGUUAACACUCUCCUUGAUAAGGAUGGAAGAGGCCCCCAUGGCCUAUACAACAUGCAUACGGUCAAAGCACUGCCACCUACUUUGUGGCAUCUAAUCAUGUUUUUCA
rnacentral:ncRNA from 1 species